GAGAGAAGGUAGGAAUAUGAAUUAUUUAUUUAUUUAUUUAUUUAUUCCUGUCUAUUCAUUAUGUAGCCAAUAGAUAGGAUAGGUCUUUCCUAUCUCAAAUGUACUUCACCAAUAAAUCAAUUUAGUUUAGAUUCUACAGUGAUCUCCAUGUGUGUUACUUAAAUAGCUGCAACAACUAAACCCUGCACUCUAACUGGAGUGGUAGCUUCUUUGGUGCUUUGCUAAAUAAUCACUAACCCCAAUAGUUUGUACCUCCCAUACGGUUGGUUAGAGAUGUAUGAUUGUUUCUGUUUUAAAGCCUUGUUGCAUUCAGGACAGCAAACAUUUUAGCUGUCAGUUGAGAUUUUUUAAGCUUCUCUAGAGUUUCAGCUGUCCCCUUACUAAACAGACCUUCACAUUCAAAAGGGAGGUCCUCUAUUUUCUGACAUGUUUCAUACUGCAGUGUUGAAGAACAUAGCCAUGAUGCAUGUCAACAAAGUACAGUAGCUCCAGCCAGAUUUUGAUUCACAGUCCAUUAAGUGCCUCACUGGACUAAUCUGCUGCCUCAUGUCUGCUGAUUUAAUCUGCAACUCCUUGCUCUUUGUUGCAAAAUUUUCUGGUUUAAUACUAGCAGUUCACACAAUGCAUGCUGGUAUCUUGAUAUACAUGCCAUGUAACUGGCUAUAUACAUGGAUAAAGUAGAUGCUGAAUAAAAUCUACAUCCUGGGCGUUUUCUAGAUUACUCCCUACAACAGGUUGGCAACAUGUCCACUAAGUACCUCUCCAAAUGGCUCAUGUUUCAACAUCGCAGUUGCUGCUUUGUCAGCAGGGUGACGUCCAUAUUUCUGAUGCAUUGUUUCAAAUGUUAUUGAUGUGUUUCAGCCCUAUUAUGUAGUAAAUGUUUUGAAGGUAAGUAGCUGUAUUUUUCCAUUUUCAGAAGGCUUGUUCCGUAGUUUGUGCAUUGCAACGUAGUGUAGUGUGGACAGUGGAGCAGGCAGGCAGGGAUGGAAGGGGGAAGGAAGGAGACAUGCUUGCGGCAGAGGGGAGCCACAGAAUGGGGGAGGUAUUUAGCCUCUGGAAAGAGCCCCACCUCCUGCCUGCCUCUUCCCCAAUCCAUACAUUAAGUGAGGGGGGAAGAAAAGCAGCCUCUCUUCUUAGAGGUCUCUUAGAUGGGCUUGGCAGUGUGGGUGGGUGUGUGCGCACUGGGGCUUGUGGCAAAGAAGAACAAGGUGGGGGCCCUGUGUACACCCUCCCAAGAUAGGGUGAGGCCCCGGCAGGGUGCUCCCACGUUCUCUCCCCCUUGCCAUUCCAGCCCGGCUUUUGCAUGGCACAGCAGCGGCACCUCUUCUUCCUUUUGCAUUCUGCUUUUGGGGCAAGCACAGAUCUAGCCACUUAAGAUGAAGUCCAUUAAACUGAAUCAUUUACUUCUGUGCAAUCCCAUUUGUUUACUGCAAGGCAACGGACUUCACCCGCCCCCUUGUUUACUGCAAGGAAGCCCAAUGUGAAUCAUUCACCAGCAAGCCUACUAACUGUUCUCAAUGUCAUGUGGUGUGGAGUUCUCAUUCUGCAGUUCAAGGAUUUGUUGCUAUCUAAAGCCCAUCUCUGUGUAUGAAUUUUUUUGUUUAUUUUUUGCAAAUGUUGUCUUGUGCAAAUCCCUUUCUGUUUCUUUGCAGAAUUGCAGUUUGUUCCAUAGUGCUCCCCCUAGUGGCAGGUUUGCACAAAAGUGCCCAGAAAUAUUGGGGGAGGGGGGCUUUCUCAUGUCAUUCCUGCUCUGCGAUCCCAUUGGCCGAAAAUGGGGGGGGGAGUGAAUGUAAUUCCAGUGGAAUAUGGACAGCCCCUGCCCAGAAAACCCGCUGCAGUGGUGGGCAACAUGAACGGCCAAAACCCUGUCACGAUGCAUUGAGAAACGCUAUGCUCAUGGUUUCCAGCUGUUGCCUAGUACCACUGCACUUUUCAACACUUUCAACAGUGGAAAUCUUGUAAUCGGGAAAACACCCUGUUGAAUCUAAUUUUUGUCCCUCUUUGUCAACAGCAUGUUUUCUAUUGGAUCUGGAUGAACAGGCAUAAUCUACCACCAAAAAAUUUGUAGAUGGAUGCUUAAAAAGGUACUUCGAAUGAAAACUCUCUAAUAAACAAAGGAAGUAUCUCCCAAUUCAACUAAAGCAGUAACUGAAGGCAACGCCUUUCCAGCCGUUCUUUCCAAUGGACGGGCAUGAGCACAGGGCGGAAUGAAAGCAUCACACAGAGCUUCAAAGUCCUACCGGUGCAGCUACUGCACAGGCGCAGACCAAAUUGAGUAAAUACAACCAGGAUCAGAUCGAGGAUUACCAAUUGCAGAGGAACAGUUUGCUUCAAGUGGAGAAAAAGAAGAAUCCACAUUAUCAAAGCUGCAAGCAAAAAAGUGGCUGCCUAGAAGUAACAUACUGUAAUGUACUCUACAUAGGGCUGCCUUUGUACUUAGCCCAGAAGCUUUAGUUAGUGCAAAAUGUGGCAGCCAGGUUGGUCUCUAGGACAACUUGGAAAGACCAUGUUACUCCUGUUCUGAAAGCAUUGCAUUGGUAACCAGCAUGCUCCUGGCAAAAUACAAAGUGCUGGUAAUUAUCUAUGAAGCCCUAAAUGGCUUGGGUCCAGGUUCUUUAAGAGAGUGCUGCCUUCUACAUGAUCCCCACUGUUUGUUAAGGUCAUCCAGAGAGAUCUGCCAGUAGUUAGCACCAGCUCAUCUGGUGGCAGAGUCGGGCCUUCUCUGUAUCCAAUCUCAAGUUUUGGAACAUGCUCCCAACCAAAAAAUGAGGUUUGCCUUCUCUUCUGGGCCUUUAAUAUAAAAAGCUUUUAAAAGCCACACCUUUUUAACUAGAUAGUUUUAAUGGCUGUUAUUAAUUAGUUCCAUUUUAAUGCCUAUUUUUAAUGGGUUUGAUUUAAUUGGUUUGUAAACUGCCUAGAGGUUGUUGUCGUUUUUACAUUAGGGAGUAUAUAAAUGUAAUAAACAAACAAAUUAAAUAGUGAAAAGGCAAGCCAAAGCAUGGGGAAGUGGGAGAUAAACAUGGAGUACAGACAGACCAUAAAGGUACAAGAAAAUCAGUUGUUAAAGCAAGAGGGGAAAACUGAGCAAAUGGGCAAAAACAUCAAAAAGUGCACUUACAGAAUUCAGAGAAGAGAAAUUUGAAACUGUAGUACUUAUUCAGGAGAACUCAAAGGGGGCAUGCCACUGGCAAGAGUGAAUAUUGAGAAGCAGUGCAUAGAAUGCAAUGACACCUAAAAAUCAAAGUCUACUUGAUCUGGAAUUAAGUAAACAUUUCCAUUCUAUCUACAAGGCUGGAUUAAAGCAGCAAGACAUCUGAAUGAAUUUACAGGAGAGAAUGAGAAAUCCUACAUUCUUCCCCCAUUGAAGGAAACUGCAGAUCAUGAACAUGGAGACAAGAAUAGCAUUUUCAAGGCUACACAAAAAAAUGUAUAGAGCUGAAUUUCACAGUAUUCCAUUUAUCCAGAACACCAGGUCAUACUCAUGUGCUGAGUAUGUCCACUUUAAGUCCGAAUUCAUGCCAAAGUUUAAUCCACUAUAUGUCCGAAUUCAUGCCAAAGUUUAACUCACUAACUGUACUAAACACUGUCCCAUACUUACAGUUUUGUUUUCUUAAAUGCAAAGGUUUGAUUUCUUUUGCAA